UUGAUUGAUUGGGUGGCUCCGGGCUGCAGGUGGGUCCAUUUUAUGCUUGGUUGGUGAGUCCCACAAAGGCCCAUUAAAUCAAUUAAGUUGGCCGGUGUGAGAAAAUCUGGGAGGGGGCAGGGAAUCUGCCUGGGUUUGCUUGUCAGAUAAAUCCUUCCGGAUCACGGGGCUGCCACGGGAGUGGCUUCCACCACACCAUCUCCUGUCCUGGGUGUUGUGGGGAGAUGAGUCUGGAUCCUACCUGGAUUCUGCCUCCAAGGCUAUUGCAAAAAUCUAAUGACAAUAUGUUCACGAGAAGGAUUUGAAGACUGUAAAAGUCUGUGAAGGAAACAUGUGGCCGUGUUGUGCUUGAAGAUCAAACUCUGAGGAAUGAAGGACAAAAACUUGGCAGAGCCUGAUGCUGUGGGAGUUUUGAGUGAUUUCUCUGCAGCUGGGGGAAGAAAGCUCCCAUGUUGUGAGGCAUAAAAAGGCCCACAUGUCAAAGAACUACAGCCUGCCAGCGACCACGUGACUGAGCUUGGAGGUGGAUCAUCCCUCAGGGAAGCCUUGAGAUGACAGCAGGCUGGGAGGGAUGCUCAGCCAGGACCAUGCAGCCAUGCUGCUCCGGCAUUCCUGAACCACAGAUGCUGUGAGAUGACAUUUUUUUCCCUCUACAUGUGUCAGCACUUCCCAGAUGUGAUGAUGGUAUUUGAAAGAGCAUGAUCUGGAAAUCCUGAGCCGUGCUGCCACAAGAAAAUGGAUGCACAGAGGACAAGGCCAGGCAGCGCAGGUCUUCAUUACACUGAGACUUUGCCUGAGUCCCAUGGUGCCCCAGUGCCCUGGCCUGGGCACAUCAGCACUGCCUUCUGUCCAGGCCCCAUGAGUCUCAGAUGGUGGACCCUGGUGACGGAAGGCUGGGUAGAUGCCAUGGACCUUUCCAUAGGUCAUAGCCACAGCUGAGCACUUGGUGUCUUACUACUCAGUGGAGAGGAGAAGUGUGCUGAAGGGUGGUAAGAGAGUGUGUCCAGGGGCCCAGACCAGAGUGGGCCAUGCCUCAUCUAGAGAGCAAGCAUCUUCCAGAAAGGAGAGCCCUUGGGUCCUUUUACAGAAGCAAUCAGAAAAACAUCGGGAAUCUCCCAGAAGACUGAAUGUAAGAGGACGAAGGGUCCGGGCACAGUGGCUCAUUCCUGUAAUCCCAGAACUUUGGGAGACUGAGGUGAGUGGAUCACUUGAGGUCAGGAGUUCGAGACCAGCCUGAACAACAUGGUGAAACCCCAUCUCUACUAAAAAUACAAUAUUAGCUGGGCAUAGUGGCGCAUGCCUGUAAUCCCAGCUACUCAGGAGGCUGAGGCAGGAGAAUCGCUUGAACCCAGGAGGAGGAGGUUGCAGUGAGCCGAGAUUGCAUCACCGCAUUCCAGCCUGGGCAACAAAGCAAGACUUCAUCACACACACACACACACACACACACACACACACACACACACAAACGAAACAACAACAACAACAAAACCAAAAAAAAAGAAAAAGAAAAGUCAGGUCUGGGGAGCUGAAGUGGCUGACAGAGGAGGAGGAGAAUUAUCUGCAGUGCUUCCCAAAUUCAGGACACUCACCCAGUGCAUCUCAAAGCCUGAGUCCUCAUAUCUCUUCUGGGGAAAGGAGAGAAAGAAUUGCUGGUGGAUUCUGCUGUGUUUUGCCUUGAGGUCAUUAUGGGCAAAAUUUCACACCUAUAAGGCCCAUUGCUGAGGAGGGAGUGGACCUCUGUGAUUCCUCUUGAGCAAAGGAAUAAACAUCCUAAGUUUGUGAGUAAAGCGUCCAUCACAUUCUCUGGAGCCAUCACUGCUGUUUGGAGAGGUGGGAGUUGAGAGAGGCCAUUACUGGGCAGAACCUGAGUUUUCACUUGAAGAUUCGUCCCUUAUGAAUCCAGCCCCUAGAAAACAGAGCAGCCAGCAGGCCUGUGACAUUUCAGUUUGGCUAUAAAAACUACAGGUUAAUAAUAAAACUCUUUUCUGGUUUUAAAAUUAUAUUCACGUGCAUCAGCUCACAUUUCUGAAAAAGCACUUAGGACAGCACCUGAGGCAACUUAAGCAUCAUAUAAAUGUUGGUUUUGUGGUCAUUCUUGUUUUAUAAUUAUUAUUAUUUGUAUCCUCACCCUGGUAGGCAGACAAGGCCAUAGUCAAUAUUAUAGUCGUUUUAUGGAUAAUAAAAAAUGGGAGAGGAAUUAAGUAACCUAUUUAAAUUCAUAUAAUAAACAAAUGGCAGAGCCAGGACUUGAAGCCAGGUUUUUAGGCUGCACAUCUCAGCUUUAACAAAUGACAGAACACCUGCUCUCACAUGUGGCUUUAUUUGUCACCUAACCACCCUCUUAGGCAGGUAGGCACUGGGGGCAGUGCUCAUGAGCUAGGCUUUUCAGCAAGAACCAGACAUGGAUAUGUAUUGGUUCUGUCACUUACCAGCCCUGUGACCUGGAGCUGGUUUUUUAACCUCUCUGGGCCCCACAAUUUUCACUGGUAGAUGGAGUAACAGUAGUGCUGACAUCCAGGGCUGUGGAUGAGGAUUGGGGAAGAUAUUUUGAUAUGAGUCUAGUGCUCAGCACACAAUGGCAGUGAUUAUAAUCACAAUAUGGUCAUUUUUCAGAUGAGAAAACUAGCUCAGAGAACAAAUGUGAUUUUCUAAAGAUUUGGGUUUCCUUGCUCCUAAUUCCUAGUUCCUGCCACCACUGAAAUCAGGACCGUAGAUGUUGCUCUCAGCAUGACCAUUAGUUUAGACAGCUGUAGGUAAUCAGAGCCAAGCAAUGCCCUCCCAAAUACAACAAUCACACACAGAAAAACAUGGAACCCUUCUGCAGAUGCCUUCCUUCACUAGCCCUAACCUCACUCUAGUGUCAUCUUUAUUUGGUUCAAGCCCUACCCAGUAUUUCUGUCUUCACCUGGAUUUAAAUGCUCCUGUGAUCACACAUAAGCUUUCAUGCAUCUAUGUCUCGUUUCUAUAAUCAUUACAGUGUAAGUGAACAUAUAAUAGCUGCUUCUUCAGACCACACUUCCUCUCGGCAGUGCCUACCACAAUCAUGGUAGGUAUUGACUCUAUGUCUAGUGGCCCCACCUUUCCUCUGUAGCCCAAGCCACAUAUCUUUGUUGCUUCCUUUUACUUCUUUGCUAGUCACAGUUUGUAGUUGCAGACAACAGAGUCCAUUUCCAUUUCUGAAAGAAAGAUUUUUCCUUCUUUUUUCUUCUUCUCUCUCUUUUCUUCUCACUCACAGAAUUAUUCGAAGGGUAGACAUCUGAGCUCUAGACUAAGCUCCCAGGUCCACAUGUAGAUUUGUCCCAUUCACGUCGAUGCAGUUGUCCCUGAGAUGAGAAACCACACAGCUUUUGCCGUCCCCUGUACCAGCAAAAUGGAUGCCCCCUGUCCAGCCUGUGUCCCUGCAUAGGUUACUUCUGGAUGGAAUUCUCAUACUGGUGCAUCUGGCUAGUUGAAUCAGGCACAUUUCUGCCCCCAAGCUGUGAGGGAGGCUGGGAAAUGUAGGUUUUGUUUCUGCUCUGGGAAGGCAAGGGUAACACUGAUGGAAACUAUCCACGAGUUAAUGGAGCAUUUAAAGUAUUUGGGGGACACAGAGCAAAGACAAGGUGUAUAAUCCAUCUUCAGCAUCCACAUGUAAUUGGUAAGCAAAUUUCAGCAGUUCUAAAUAUGAACACUUCUGGGAUUCAUCUACUUCUCUCUACCCCACUGCAGUCCUUUGGCUCAGUGCUUCUCACAUGGACAAUGGCAACAGCUUGUAAGUAGUCUCUCUGGCUCAGUCCCCUUUCUGCCCUAUCUCACGUAUGUUUUGUAGCCAGUGUUACUCCUUUGCUUAAAAUCCUCAAAGCUCCUGGUUGCUUUCAGAAGUGAGUUUAAACUUAUAAUUAUGGCUUUUAAAAUCCUUUGGAAUCUCAGGCCGGGGGUGGUGGCUCACGUCUGUAAUCCCAGCACUUUGGGAGGCUGAAGCGGGUGGAUCACC
rnacentral:lncRNA from 10 species